rnacentral:lncRNA from 1 species
CCUACAUACAUUGCAGGAUCCUUAUAGACAAAAGAAUUCAAAUUUCUGAUCAGUGAUGUGGUAUAUAAAAACAUCCUUAUUGUUAAUGGUUCUUGUUUUUUUAUGUAUAUUUGAUGUAUUAUAAAGAAGUGGAGUGUAAUAAUGAUUAAAUAUUGGUAUUGGACAAGCCAUAAAUUUUGUGUAUUUCCAGUUUAUAACUGUUCCAACUUAUGAUGGCAGGGUUUGAACCAAACUCCACUGUAGGUCAAGGACUAUCUAUAUUUCCAAAACAUCCAUUUGUUGUUUCCCAUUUUUUUCAUUCCAUUCUUUAUUCUCUUCACCAACCAUGUAUACUUUUUUUGUAUAUGCUAUACUCAUCUGCACUCACACUUAGUACUUUUUUUAUGACAGUAUAUGCUGGUAUACUGUACUGGCACCUAUUUCUAAAAU